rnacentral:rRNA from 1 species
AUUGGGUUUAAAGGGAGCGUAGGCUGGAGAUUAAGUGUGUUGUGAAAUGUAGACGCUCAACGUCUGAAUUGCAGCGCAUACUGGUUUCCUUGAGUACGCACAACGUUGGCGGAAUUCGUCGUGUAGCGGUGAAAUGCUUAGAUAUGACGAAGAACUCCGAUUGCGAAGGCAGCUGACGGGAGCGCAACUGACGCUUAAGCUCGAAGGUGCGGGUAUCAAACAGGAUUAGAUACCCUGGUAGUCCGCACAGUAAACGAUGGAUGCCCGCUGUUGGUACCUGGUAUCAGCGGCUAAGCGAAAGCAUUAAGCAUCCCACCUGGGGAGUACGCCGGCAACGGUGAAACUCAAAGGAAUUGACGGGGGCCCGCACAAGCGGAGGAACAUGUGGUUUAAUUCGAUGAUACGCGAGGAACCUUACCCGGGCUUGAAUUGCAGAGGAAGGAUUUAGAGAUAAUGACGCCCUUCGGGGCCUCUGUGAAGGUGCUGCAUGGUUGUCGUCAGCUCGUGUCGUGAG